AGUGCAUGUAUUCAUAUCUACUAAACAUGGAAAAAGUACAAUGAUAAAAUUAUAGAUAAAAAUUUUAGGAUAUAAUUCCUUUAAAGACAGUUAUUAGUUGUAAUAGGUUGUUGAUCAAAGUCGUCUAAUGGAAGAUUAUUAAAGGGCACUUGGCCAGAAUGGAUGGAUUGGAGAAACUGUACUGGGUGUUUAACAGGCUUGUCUAUUGUUUGUUGGCAGUGCUCAGUAUCCUGUGGAGGAGGUGUUCAGCGCAGACUGGUCAAAUGUGUCAACACUAAGGCCAAGCUCGAGGAUGAAACUGAGCAUGUGGAUUGUGAUCAUGAACCUCGACCAAAGAACACAAAGAAGUGUAACAUUCAAGACUGUGACAGCACCCGCUCUGGUCAGUUGUGUUUACGGGACCAUUUGACAAUACGCUUCUGUCAGACUCUCCGAUGGCUCGGCCGAUGUCAAGUGCCUUCGGUCCGCGCAAAGUGCUGCAAGACCUGCAGGCUGCCAUCACGGGGCGGUGAUCACACUGCAAGUCGCUGAGAUACAGGGGGAUAGCAGAAUGACUGUUGUAAGCCAGGGAACACAAGAUUAUGACACACAAAUACUCAAAGCAGAUUUGGACCAAUCCAUUGUUGGACAGACUUUCGUCUGGUCUGGUCAAGCUGUAACCAUUGACCUACAGUUCAUCAGGGAGCUACUUUGUCCCUACAUCCUUUAACACAUACAGUAAGUAGUGCUUAUUUCCACCCAUCAUCUCAGAUAAGUGGUAGUAAUGCAGAGUGGACCAUCUUGCCAUCUCACUAUAGAGUGAGGCAGGGAUGAUGUCAUUUUAGCAUGUAUAGUUAGCAUUUUAGCUCUUCCGGUUCACCGUCCCAAAUUCAGUGGGUUUUUUGCAUGGGUUUUUGGUUAAAUUGGUUAAACUUUUCUCAUCUUAAAAAAGUUGGUUGCUGACAGGAGGCUAAAUGGGACUAUAGAGGUUGUGAGUGAGUAUGAAAACUCAUGUACUCACUAAUUCGCUUUCACAGUAUUUCCUCUUUCAGGGAAAAAAGUUUUUUUUCCACAUAAUUGCAAGUUUGCAGAUUUCUAUUUAUUGAAGCUGAUGGCAGAUCAGAUGUAAAACCAGUAGUGAAGUACCUGGUGCUGCAACAUAAACUGGUGCUAAAGGUAGCGAGCGGUAAAAUCCUCACUCAGUCUGGUGUUGGCUGGUACUUGAAUUCUACACACACUAUUUAUACCUUAAUUUUAUAUGUCUGUAUUACUCUUUGGAUUAAUAAA